rnacentral:rRNA from 1 species
UUUACCCUACGGGGCGCAGCAGUGAGGAAUAUUGGUCAAUGGGCGGGAGCCUGAACCAGCCAAGUCGCGUGAGGGAAGACGGUCCUAUGGAUUGUAAACCUCUUUAGGCGGGGAGCAAUGCCGGGCACGCGUGCCCGGAGGGAGAGUAACCGAAGAAUAAGCAUCGGCUAACUCCGUGCCAGCAGCCGCGGUAAUACGGAGGAUGCGAGCGUUAUCCGGAUUUAUUGGGGUUAAAGGGUGCGGAGGCGGGUUUUUAAGUCAG